ACAUAAUAAUGUUGGAUGUUAAACAAAAUUAGCUUCUGCAGGCAGCGAUAACACUGGGCACCCUAAACAUGAUAGUUAAUGCUGGUAUUUGUGGUGGUGGGAUUGUUUGGCAUGAAUAUUCAGAUUAAUCUCUUUGAUGGAAAACCUCGUCAAUUUUGGGCCACAACCUGGGGUACUUUGGGAUGAUUUAUGAUAAUAUUCCUUGUAUGUUACUGGUGGGGGAAGAAGAUAUAUUUUGUCUUUGAAUAGAGCCUAGUUACUUGUAAUCACUUUACUGAUUUAUUUGCUAGAAUGCAAAUAAUGAAGAUAUUAUUUGAAUUGUGAGGUAAUAUAAAUCAUAAAAAUAUUAUUUAGAUGUUAUAUAUAUAUAUAUACAUAUUUGUUAUCUAAUAUAUAAUAAUAAUAAAAAUAAAAAUACAGAUAGACAUAGCCACCCUUAUGUUAUCGCUAGUUUAUUAUAAUUUCUUUUGUUAAAAAUAUUACAAUUUGAAGUUCACAUAUUCAUGGACCAUGUCAGCAUAAGCCCACAAGUUUAAUAGGUGAAAUCUAAAAUUAUGUUAUACAAAAUUUUAAAAUAAUCUAUUCAUAAUGAAAUAUGUGGUCAAUUUAUUUUAAAAUAAACCCACCCCCAAAAAUUAUUUUAUGAUAUAAAAUUUAUAUUUAUGGUCAAUUUAAAAGUAUUUUUUCACGUCAAAUCAUAGGAUUUAACCAUAUAUUUAACCAUAAAUUGUUUGAAAAAUUAAAAUUUAAUUUAACCAUAUAUAUUCAUAAACAUUAAAAUUUUAUUUUAUCCAAAAAUUCAUUUUCAAUUAUAUUAGGAAAUUAAAAUUAGCAACAGACAAGUAAAUUAUUUAAUAGAAAAUUAAAACAAAGAGAGACAAUUCGGACUUUUCAUGCUAAAUUGUUAGGGUUUAUGGUUUCUCAUAUAAAUUUCCAAUAUUUUCGUAUCAGAACCACAGAGCUAAGGAUUUCGGCUGUUACUCAUCAACAAGGUCUCCUCUCUCGUCCUCUCUGUGACCUAAUUUUCGUUCUCUCUGAGACCUAAUUUUCGUUCUCUCUCACAUCCUUUGAGUAUUGACGUGUUUGAACAACCUCUGAUUUGUAUAGUUAUUUUUGUUUUCGCAGGAAGCAAAGCGUGUCUUUUGAAUUCAACAAGGAAAGAUGUCAGGGUAUGUUCAAUUUUUCCUCAUUGAUCCUCUUAGUCGGUUUAUGAUUUAUGGAUGCAACACUUUUCCCCUUUGAUUUUUUAAAUAUUUAGUAGAAACACCUAUUCGUAGCUGUUAUCGUUGCCUGAGAAUGGUUCCUCAGAAUGAAAAUUUGGUAGUGAGGAUAUACAUACUAAUUACAUUGACUGUUCGUAGCUGUGUCUUGCCUUGAGGUUCGAUUUGGUAGUUUCAGGUUUCGAUUGUAACACAUUGAUGUUCAAAACUGAAAUGGUUUUAUCACGUCAUGUUGUUUAAAUUAAUUAAUUGUAGUUGGAUUUUGAUGUUGGAGCCUGAUGGAGUAUUUGUUCUAAUUUCCAAUUUUUGAUUCAUUCCUAACAUGAUUCUGUGUUGAAAAUGAAUGAAGUGAAGUAUCUACAAUGGUCUAUUAUAGUCCUGGGCAGUCUUGGCAAAUAAUAUAAGUACUGCUAAUCAGUUUAACUUGAUUUGUGGAGAAUUGAAUGAUAGGACUCCCCUUUUGUCUUGAUUAGAAGUUAAGAGGGUGAGAAAAACUAAAUGUAUAAUGUAUCACACAUGUAGUAUGGAAAUAAUUAUUGUAAAAGCUGCUGGUGUAACUUGUUCACAUGCUUCUAAUUUUAUGUGUAUUGCUCUACUCCUGUUUCUGAGUAAUAGCUUUUCCUUGAUGAGUUUAAGAUUCUUGUAUGGGUUUAUCCUGACAGUUUAGAAUACUUUUUUCGGUAGUAUUCUGAAAGAAAGAGUUGUAGAAAGAGAGGAAUUGAGAUAAAGUGCACUAAUUCAGUAGUACCCAUUUUUUCUUUAGACGGCUUCACUCAUGUUAUUAUUAAGAUUGCACCUUAGUCCAGUCUAUAGGCAGUUCUUUCCAUGGUCAAACUCUCAGUGGCAGUACCAUCGUUGCCAAAAUCGCUACUCAGUGUUGGACUUCUAAUGAUUCCCUAGUCCUAAGCUUGGUGUUCAGGAAUUGGAGACGCUUCUAGCAAUAUAUUUUGUGCAGACAAUUGGAAUCUAGCAAAGAUUGUCAGUGUAAGUAUCUAUUGAACUCUUCUAUCCUGAAUAAUGUGCUGUGACUGCAUUUAAAAAUUAAACUUCUUGUCUGAAAUACCGAGUGAUGUAUGUGUUUGUGAUUUGCUUAAGUUGAGUGAUUGAUUAUGCAUGGAGGACUGCAUAAUAAGGUUGGAUGUUAAACAAAAUUAGCUUCUGCAGGCAGCGAUAACACUGGGCACCCUAAACAUGAUAGUUAAUGCUGGUAUUUGUGGUGGUGGGAUUGUUUGGCAUGAAUAUUCACAUUAGUCUCUUUGAUGGAAAACCUCGUCAAUUUUGGGCCACAACCUGGGGUACUUUGGGAUGAUUUAUGAUAAUAUUCCUUGUAUGUUAGUGGUGGGGGAAGAAGAUAUAUUUUGUCUUUGAAUAGAGCCUAGUUACUUGUAAUCACUUUACUGAUUUAUUUGCUAGAAUGCAAGCUUUGGGAAAUUAAGUAAUAACUGUUGCAUUUCUCGCAAAAAAGAAAAAAGAAAAAAAGGAAAAAGGUUUUUGUGCUAAACAUGUAAAAUCAAAAUAUUUUGUGCAGUUAAUUAUAGUGAUUAACUAAAAAAGUUAAUUUAAAAAACUUAAUUAAAAUGGAUUUUGAUUUUGUUGAUUUUAUUAAAAUUGUACUUUAAAA
rnacentral:lncRNA from 1 species